rnacentral:rRNA from 1 species
AGUGAACGCUGGCGGUAGGCCUAACACAUUCAAGUCGAACGGCAGCACAGUAAGAGCUUGCUCUUACGGGUGGCGAGUGGCGGACGGGUGAGGAGUACAUCGGAAUCUACUUUUUCGUGGGGGAUAACGUAGGGAAACUUACGCUAAUACCGCAUACGACCUACGGGUGAAAGCAGGGGAUCUUCGGACCUUGCGCGAUUGAAUGAGCCGAUGUCGGAUUAGCUAGUUGGCGGGGUAAAGGCCCACCAAGGCGACGAUCCGUAGCUGGUCUGAGAGGAUGAUCAGCCACACUGGAACUGGGACACGGUCCAGACUCCUACGGGAGGCAGCAGUGGGGAAUAUUGGACAAUGGGCGCAAGCCUGAUCCAGCCAUACCGCGUGGGUGAAGAAGGCCUUCGGGUUGUAAAGCCCUUUUGUUGGGAAAGAAAAGCAGCAGGUUAAUACCCCGCUGUUCUGACGGUACCCAAAGAAUAAGCACCGGCUAACUUCGUG